GUAAAUAUUAAAGUAAAAAUAAAAAUUUAGAAUCAAAACUAAAAUAAAUAAUACAUAUGAGAAACAGACUGACUAGUUGAACCUGCCUAUGACUAUACACAUCGCAAGAGAAUUGAGUUGAAGCUCUAUCAGCAACAUCUUUAGUUUCAUUGGCGCUGCAAUUGGCACUCUUUUCCACCUCAAGAUUGGAGGCAAAGUCUAUGUCAUCUAGGACUUUGGUGAAGAAUCAGAAAUUCCAGGGUCUGCACAAGGCUUUUGCACUUUUA
rnacentral:lncRNA from 1 species